AAGAGUGUACAGAAAUAAGUCACAUGCAGACCAUAUUGAAAUACGCAGAGAAUUCCAUGGAGACUCUGAUGGCUAGGGCACCGUUGAGCUGUUGCAACUGUUCUGCUGGAGCCUUAUGUAUGUGGUUGAAACCACCUGUACUACUGGAAUGAAAGCACCUUUACAGAAGAGGCAAUGCAAGUUGUAUUCAUCACAUGUGUAGAAUGAAUUAAGAUUUAUGCCAGUUGCAAAGAAGAAUAUUGGCUCACUAUUUUUCCUCUGGGCAUGUGGAAAUGUAAAUCAGUCCAUGUUACUCACCUCGGAGAAGCAGAAGUACGAUUUACUAUUGUUGCUUGCUUACUUACUCUUAUCAAUUUCUAUGAGAGAAGAAUUCCAAAUGUGCUACCAUCCAUGUAGUUUUACUUGAAAAACCCCCUUGGAAAUUAACAAUAAGGCACUGACUGGAGCUGAAUUUGCAAAUGUUUUAGGAAGAAACUUUAUCUCAGACUACCCUUGAUGUAUCAAAAUAUUUAAAGCAAUUGGCAAAGGCAGUGAGCAAUUCACUCUCAGGCACAUGAAUAUCACCGGGAGAGGGCUGAAUGUUCAGACCAUAUGAUGUCCUGAAAAUUCUUCCACAAUAUUUAACCAACACUUUCCAGAAAAACUUCAUUUAUCUCCAUGUACCAAUAUUUUGGGGUCCAGCCCAAUUCCUGUCCCUUCAGUGAAGCCUUAUUUAAUUUUACCAAUAAAUAAUAGCUCUCUUUUUUG
rnacentral:lncRNA from 1 species